AUGCGCAUCCGGCGCUACGCCGCGCGCCUGCUCGCCUCCUCGGCCCCCGCCGCGCCCCCGCCGCAGCCCGCGCCCUGGCUCCACGCCGCCGCCGACGACUGCGCCAUCUGCGAGCUCACCCGCGGCUCCGACCCGCAGGUACCCACUCCCCCCUCCCCCUCCCCCAUCCGCAUUACAUCGCCCUGCCUGCCCUCUGGGGAAAGCGGCGAUUUUGGCUCGGCUGGAACGGGGGUCCGGUCCUCACGCUCGCUUGUGCGUUCCGCGGAAUCGCAGGUUGCUCCGGACGGGGUUAAGCACAAGGGGCACAUUGCCGGCCUGGAGCCGGAGGGCGAGCUGCUCAAGGGCGACCAGGACCACCGCGCCCGCCUACCUCAGCAACCUCCCGUCCUUGAAGCUCAAGAAUGUGAGGUGGGCCAUGAGCACUCUGUGAUUAAAGGUUCUGUGAGGCCAGAAUCUAUGGAGGAGACUACUCUGGUCAGCGAAGCUGCUACUGAGCCGCUAGUCAUGGAAGGAGUCCAUGUUGUUGAUGAAGCUACUGCUGAGCAGGAGGUUGGAGUGGCAACUCCUCUUGUGAAUGGCUCUGUCACUGACCCGGAGGUUAUCGGGGGAGCUUCUCUUGUGAGUGGAUCGAUCACUGAGACAGAAGUUAUGAGUGGAGUUUCUCUCGCUGAUGAAGCUGCUGGGGAGCGAGACGUUUCAGUGGGAGUUUCCCUUGUGAGUGGAUCGAUCGCUGGGCCAGAGGUUAUAAGUGGAGCUUCUCUCGCCGAUGAAGCUGUUGCUGAGACAGAAGUUUCAGGGGGACUUUGUCUUGUGAGUGAAGCUGCAACUGAGGCAGCAGAUGUAGCCACCUCAUCGGGAAUUACAACCGGGGCUCCCCUUGACAACAAAGGCGUUGCAGAUCCAGAUACUGAAAUGGGAGCUCCUACCAUCCAUAAAUCUGCUUCCGAAGCUGCAACUGAGGCAGCAGACGCAGCCAUCAGGUCGGAAGUUACAACUGGAGCUCCCCUUGACAACAAAGGUGUCGCAGAGCACGAUAUUAAAAUGGGCGCUUCUCCUGUCGACGAAUCUGCUUCUGAAGCUGCAACUGAGGCAGCAGAUUUAGUCACCACACCAGGAGCUCCCCUCGACAACCAAGGUGUUGCAGAGCCAGAUAUUAAAAUGGGAGCUUCUCCUGUCAAUGAAUGUGCUGCUAAAACUGCAACUGAGGCUGCAGAUGUAGUCGCCGCUCUGAGAGUUACAACUGUAGCUUCCUUCGACAACAAAGGUGUUGCAGAGCCAGAUACUAAAAUGGAAGCUUCUCCUGCCAAUGAAUCUGCUGCUGAAAUGGAUUUUCUACACUCAGGUUCCCUUGUUACUGAAGCUGCAACUCAUCCAGGACUACCAGAAAGAGUUUCUCUUGCUAAUGGAGCUGCUACUGAGCGAGAGGUUUCAGAGGCAGGUUCACUUGUGAGUGAACCUGCAGCUGAGGCAGCAGACGUAGUCACCGCGUUGGAAGUUACAACUGGAGCUCCCCUUGACAAUGAAGGCACUGCAGAACCGGAAAUUAAAAUUGGACCUUCUUUUGCGAAUGAAUCUACUGCUGAAAUGGAUUCAGUACUGUUAGGUUCACUUGUUACUGAAGCUACAACUCAUCCUGGACUUAUAGGAAGAGUUUCUCUUGUCACUGAGACAGGAGUUACAGGAGGUGCUAACCUCGACACUGAAGUUUCCAUAGAACCAGAAGAUACAGGUCGACCUUCUCUUGUAAAUGAAUCUACCGAAUUGGAAAUUACACGGGGGGUUUCUAUUGCUACCGAUGCUGCUUCAGAACCAGAAGUUACUGGCCAAGCUUCCGCUUGUAGUGGAGAUAGUGAUGCUGCUUUAAAUGAGCCAGAAACUCUUGACUGCGAUUUGGAUAGUGCCAAUGUGCAGAUUGAAAAUGCAGGAGAGUCUGUUGCCACCAAAGUGCAACCUUCUAGAGACGACAGGGGAGAUGUUUGUUCUAUGAAUGCCAUGAGCACUUGUCCUGUUACGGACAAGAGUCUAGCUUUUGAUGAAGUAAUACCACAGGAUGAUGCACCCAGUGUUUCAUGUGCAUCAGGCGUAGUUGUUAGAAGUGUUGGUCAAUCAGAGAGAACUGAUGUCAUAUGUUAUGCCAGGCGCAGAGGUAAAAGAAAGCUGGAUAUGGAAGAAACAAAGACAGACCAACUUGAAAUGGGUGAUGGUGACAUCUAUGGUCAGUGUGAGGAAAAGGCGACAUUUGACAUAACUGUUCCUUGUGAGAGUACGAUGUCAAACGCUGAAUCUGCAGACAUUAAACUCGCCGACAUAAAGAGAGGUCUUGUGGACAAUUCAGCCUCAAGCAAGGGUAAAAAGAGGAAGGGACGAUUUGAAUGUGACAUUGACUACUGCCACAUGACAUUCAAGAAAAGAGCCGAACUUUCUGUCCACAAGAAGAACAUGUGCACGAUCAAGUCAUGUGGCAAACAUUUUAGAUCCCACAAGUAUCUGAGACGCCACCAGAGCAUUCACAACGAGGAGACACCUUACAAGUGUCCGUGGGAAGGUUGCAGUAUGGCUUUCAAGUGGACAUGGGCUCUGGCUGAUCAUUUCCAAGUUCAUACAGGGGAAAAGCCCUAUAAAUGCAGGACGCCGGGGUGUAGCAAGAUAUAUAAGUAUGUUUCGGACUUUACCCGGCAUAGGAUGAGGUGCAAACCGCAGAGGUAA
rnacentral:rRNA from 1 species